GUGGGGGACCUUCGGGCCUCAUGCCAUCAGAUGUGCCCAGAUGGGAUUAGCUAGUAGGUGGGGUAAGGGCUCACCUAGGCGACGAUCCCUAGCUGGUCUGAGAGGAUGACCAGCCACACUGGAAAUGAGACACGGUCCAGACUCCUACGGGAGGCAGCAGUGGGGAAUAUUGCACAAUGGGCGCAAGCCUGAUGCAGCCAUGCCGCGUGUAUGAAGAAGGCCUUCGGGUUGUAAAGUCAGCUAGGAUGAAUUGGCGUUAAGGUUAAUAACCUUGGCGAUUGACGUUACUCGCAGAAGAAGCACCGGCUAACUCCGUGCCAGCAGCCGCGGUAAUACGGAGGGUGCAAGCGUUAAUCGGAAUUACUGGGCGUAAAGCGCACGCAGGCGGUCUGUCAAGUCGGAUGUGAAAUGCCC
rnacentral:rRNA from 1 species